rnacentral:rRNA from 1 species
AGAGCGAACGCUGGCGGCAGGCCUAACACAUGCAAGUCGAACGGACUCUUCGGAGUUAGUGGCGGACGGGUGAGUAACACGUGGGAACGUGCCUUUAGGUUCGGAAUAGCUCCUGGAAACGGGUGGUAAUACCGAAUGUGCCCUUCGGGGGAAAGAUUUAUCGCCAUUGGAGCGGCCCGCGUUGGAUUAGGUAGUUGGUGAGGUAAAGGCUCACCAAGCCUACGAUCCAUAGCUGGUCUGAGAGGAUGAUCAGCCACACUGGGACUGAGACACGGCCCAGACUCCUACGGGAGGCAGCAGUAGGGAAUCUUGCGCAAUGGGCGAAAGCCUGACGCAGCCAUGCCGCUGAAUGAUGAAGGUCUUAGGAUUGUAAAAUUCUUUCACCGGGACGAUAAUGACGGUACCGAGAAGAAGCCCCGGCUAACUUCGUACGCCGAGCAGCCGAC